rnacentral:rRNA from 1 species
UACAGAGGUCUCAAGCGUUGUUCGGAUUCAUUGGGCGUAAAGGGCGUGUAGGUGGCGCGCUAAGUCGGGUGUGAAAUUUCGGAGCUUAACUCCGAAACUGCAUUCGAUACUGGCGUGCUUGAGGACUGGAGAGGAGACUGGAAUUCAUGGUGUAGCAGUGAAAUGCGUAGAGAUCAUGAGGAAGACCAGUGGCGAAGGCGGGUCUCUGGGCAGUAACUGACGCUGAGGAGCGAAAGCGUGGGGAGCGAACAGG